ensembl:snRNA U6 U6 spliceosomal RNA
UUGCUCACUUUGGCAGCAUGUAUACUAAAAUUGGAAUGAUACAGAGAUUAGCAUGACCCCUGCAUACCGAUGAUGUGGGAAUUUGUGAAGCGUUUCAUAUUUUU